UUGAGAAGUAAACCACUGGAUGGAAGGUGAACUUUUGUAUCAUCAUUUCUAUUUCUCAGAAAAAUGUUGUUGGGAUUUUAAUUGGGUCGUGAUGAAUCUGCAUAUAACUUUUGGCAAUAUGCACAUUUUGGUGAUGUUCCCACCUAUCCAGUAACGUGCCUAUGAUAUCUUCUCAUCAUUGAGGUGUCAGUGGAAGUGUCACGUGAGAUUUGAGUGUCCGUGAAAAGCCUCCGGACUGUGCUUCCCUCCGUUCCAGCAACAUGGCAGUUCAAGACUGAACAAAAGUGAGGGAAAGUAAGGAUCUCAUCUCCCCGGUCAGUGGAGUAAGAAAU